GUUGGACUGGUGGGCGGAGUCAGAGGUCAGUGAUUUCCCCCAGGGAGAGCCCGGUGGGAGAGCAGCAGAGAGACCGACGGUCCCCAGGUGCAGCUACUAUCGGAGGGACUGAGAGACAGCGCGAGUGGAGGUGCCCGCUGACUUACCUGGCGGCGGGUGGCUGUACAGUGCUAAAGGACCGGAGACCGGAGCUUUUGAGACCAGCAGCGCUGAAUGGUGCGGCAGAGCGGUUAUUGUACCUCCCUCUGACUGCAGGGUAGCCGAGGUCCCUAGCAACGCAACAGACCGGGAGCCCUUCCAGCGGUAGCGACAAAGGAAGUGAUGGUGGUUCAGUUUAGUAUACCCAGAGGCUCCAGUUAGUGCUUCCUGGUGAGGGGUGGAGCCGCAGCGCAAGACAGACAGACGACUGUGACCUCCGAGGAGGAGUCAGGGGAGUGACAGAUGUGUGUGCAGUGAAACUGGACAGGAGGUCAUUAAAAUUGAUGAUAACCCUGGUGAAUAAUAGCUUGAAUUGCAUCGUGUUGCAUCACAGGGAAUAGCACUAUUUCAAAACUGGUGGGUGCCCAGGGGUCAGGAAACUCGGAAAUCCCUAUGACCCAGGUAAAUGCAGUUUACCAAGCACCGUUCUCCUGACUAAAUGUUGAAGAAUGCGGAGCCAUUGACCCAGCGUGCUGUAAAAGUAGAAGUGUAGGUAAGGCCUGGUUCCCGACGGCCGAUGAGUCAGCAAAAUAACAUCCAAAGCUUGGAGAAACCCACCCUUCCUUGUAUGCUAUAGUCACACACUAAACAAUGAUGCUGUGUUGAUUUACAUACAUGUAUUAUUACUCAUUGCUAACUGAAUGUGAAUACCAGGGAUGGGAUCUGAGGAAGCUGCAGGAGAUCACUUGUGACUCAUGAUGGCCAUCUACUGGUCAUAGAUCAAUAUUCUUCUCUGUACUCAUUAAAAUCUGUCACAACCGA